GGCCAGUUAGCUCAGUCAGUUGAGCAUAGCACUAACAAUGCUAAGGUCAUGGGUUCGAUUCCCGUUUGGUCC
rnacentral:tRNA from 1 species